UUGUGGUACCAGCGUACGGGUCCAUAGGUUAAUUAUUGCAGAGCAAAGCAGGUUAUGAUUAUUACUGGUAAUGAAUGACAGAAAAUAUGAGUGGUUAUCCUAAUCAACCGGGUUAUUCAGGCCAGCCUGGAUACCCCCCUCAACAAGGUUAUGGUUACCCACCUCCGGGCCAACCAGGACAACCCGGAUAUCCCGGAGGUCCCCCACCAAACUAUGCGCCACAAUCCGGCAUGCAGGAGCCCUAUCCGCAAGCCAUACAUAAUACAACGGUAUACCAACAAGGUGUUCCACAACAAGGCCCAACCACGGUGGUCUAUCAAGAGGACCCGGAGGCUGCCGCAAUGCGCCAAAGAAACGCCGAAGCAGACGAUUGUUGUUGUAUGACCAUGUGCUGGACAUACAUAUGCUGUUGUCUAAUGAGUGAUUAAAACUUGAUGACUUGUACCAACCUUCAUACGCUCUACAAAUACAAUUAAUUUAUUAUCUCCUCAUACAUAUAGUGUACAUAGCAUCGAUAAAGUUCUGUAGGGAUUGUUUGGUUUUAAAAGCCCUUCACUUGGCGAGUUAUACAAGAAGAGAAUGGGAAAUAAUGAAUUCUGGGCUCGCAUUGAAUAAUAUGAUCACGACUACAGCACGUAAACAAACGAAAAAGAGACAUUGGCCCCAGAGACUGAAAACGGCACGAUAUUGCCCAUCGACGUCAUUAUUCAUGAAAGAAAUAAUGGCCCUUCCAGUAUAAUGGAUCCUCUUCUGCAUGACCUUUACUGACCUUGACUCAGUAUAAAACUAACGUCACUACAUAAAUCGAUGGCCGGAGAAGAAGACCAUAAUAUGAUAUGAGCAAAUAGAUGUUUGUGUAUAGUGUGUAGCAGCCAAAGUACAGAAAUAUGUAACCUACAUCCAAAAUACUGUUAUGAUACCGUAUCUAUCAGAAAAGCU
rnacentral:misc_RNA from 1 species